rnacentral:sRNA from 1 species
GCUAGGCGUAGUGGUGCAUGCCUGUAAGCCCAGAAGCUUGGGAAGCUGAGACAGGAGGAUCAAGAGUUCAAAGCCAGCCUCAGCAAAAGCAAGGUGCUAAGCAACUCAGGGAGACCCUGUCUCUA